AGGAUCAUUAAAGAAAUAAUCUCGAGGGCCGAUGGAAAGGAGAGAGGGUUGUAGCUGGCGUAAGCACGUGCACGCCCUCUUUCUCGACCUAGGUCCUUAUGGGCGCGGGGCGACCCGCGUCUUCAUAAGCCCCUUCGUGUAGAAAGUCUAUGAAUGUUUUUAUUAUCAUCGACUCGCGACUUCUAGGAGACGCGAUUCUUUGAGACAAAAGUUAUUACAACUUUCAGCAAUGGAUCUCUUGGCUCUCGCAUCGAUGAAGAACGCAGCGAAUCGCGAUAUGUAAUGUGAAUUGCAGAUCUACAGUGAAUCAUCGAAUCUUUGAACGCACCUUGCGCUUAUCGGUGUUCCGAUGAGCAUGCCUGUUUGAGCGUCAUUAAAUUCUCAACCCCUCUCGAUUUGCUUCGAGAGGGUGCUUGGAUUGUGGAGGCUGCCGGAGACCUGUUUUUUCAGGACUCGGGCUCCUCUGAAAUGUAUUGGCUUGCGGUCGACUUUCGACUGUGCAUGACAAGGCCUUUGGCGUGAUAAUGAUCGCCGCUCGCCGAAGUGCACGAACGAAUGGUCUCGUGCCUCUAAUCAGUCGAUGUCUUUUCGAAGGCGUCUUCCUUAUUGACGUUUGACCUCAAAUCAGGUAGGACUACCCGCUGAACUUAAGCAUAUCAAUAAGCGGAGGA
rnacentral:rRNA from 1 species